UACGGGGGGUGCGAGCGUUAAUCGGAAUAACUGGGCGUAAAGGGCACGCAGGCGGUCAAUUAAGUGAGGUGUGAAAUCCCCGGGCUUAACUUGGGAAUUGCAUCUGAAACUGGUUGGCUAGAGUACUGUAGGGGGGGGUAGAAUUCCACGUGUAGCGGUGAAAUGCGUAGAGAUGUGGAGGAAUACCGAUGGCGAAGGCAGCCCCCUGGAAAUGGACUGACGCUCAUGUGCGAAAGCGUGGGGAGCAAACAGG
rnacentral:rRNA from 1 species